rnacentral:rRNA from 1 species
CGGACGGGUGAGUAACGCGUGAGAACCUACCCUUUAGACAGGAAUAGCCCACGGAAACGUGGAUUAAUGCCUGAUAGUCUCUACGGAGUAAAUGGUGCCUUCGGGUAUCGCUAGAGGAUGGGCUCGCGGCCUAUCAGCUUGUUGGUGAGGUAAAGGCUCACCAAGGCGACGACGGGUAGCUGGUCUGAGAGGACGAUCAGCAACACUGGAACUGAGACACGGUCCAGACACCUACGGGUGGCAGCAGUCGAGAAUCAUUCACAAUGGAGGCAACUCUGAUGGUGCAACGCCGCGUGGAGGAUGACGGUCCUAGGAUUGUAAACUCCUGUCAUUGGGGAGUAAGACUUAAGCGUUAAGAGCGUUUAAGUUUGAUAGUACCCAAAGAGGAAGGGACGGCUAACUUCGUGCCAGCAGCCGCGGUAAUACGAAGGUCCCAAGCGUUGUUCGGAAUCACUGGGCGUAAAGCGUGUGUAGGCUGCGCGGAAAGUCAAAUGUGAAAGCCCGGGGCUCAACCUCGGAACUGCAUUCGAUACUCCCGUGCUAGAGUAAUGGAGAGGUAAGUGGAAUUCCUGGUGUAGCAGUGAAAUGCGUGGAUAUCAGGAGGAACAUCAAUGGCGAAGGCAACUUACUGGACAUUUACUGACGCUCAGACACGAAGGCUAGGGUAGCGAAAGGGAUUAGAUACCCCUGUAGUC